ensembl:lncRNA
GUCCCAGGGAAUGCAGGCUCGCAGCAGAGGAGCGGGGAGAGACUGGAAGUUGCCCUAACUGCAGAGCCUGGGCCCAGCCUGGCAGAGCCCACAGCACAGAUGCAGGCCCAUCAAGAAGAGCUGCAGCCCAGGAGAACCGCAUGGGGUCAGGCUGCAGGCUAAGAAUAGACUGUUUAACAAGGAACUCUCCACUCAGCAACUUCCUCCCCUGCAGUUGGUUCUCACUUCUCUCUGUCCCAAAUCAUAGCUGUCCCUGAGUCUGGAUCUUCACAGGAGAACCAGCGGAAGGCCCAUGAGGGCUUCAGGUCCACUGAGGAGACACCCACCUGACUGACAGACAGUCCUCACGGGAGAGCCCUCCUGGGAGACCCACACUGCAGUGCUUACCUCAGGCAGGCUCAUCUCGUCAGAGGACUGAGGAUCAAGGGGUCUGUACACACUGGGCACCAACAGAAGACUCUGCCCUGCAGGAAGCAGCAGCAGGAGCAGGCAGCGGAUCUCAGCUUCAUACAGGGAAACGGUUUGCACUGCGACACAGCCGCCGGGUGAGUGACCGACGGACAGCAGCACACACACCCCAGAAUGCCCAUCCGGAAGACACCCCAACACCAGUAAAAAUACCCAGCUUGGGAUCAUAAGGCACCCUUCUCUCUUUUCAGGGCCCACACUCUCUAUUUCUUUGAGUGCAUACUUUUAAAAUGUCUGCCUAAUAAAUCACUCGAUGCUGUUUACUGAUGAGUCCCGAAAAUUCUUUUUCUUCAAGGGAGUUAGUGAACCUGCAAUAAGAUGGGUUUAGGAACCUCCUAGGACUCUGUCGGGUGACAGUUCGAGCUCUAGUGAGGGGUGGGGCUGGCUAGGCAUUAAAGGAAGAGACAAAAUGUACAAGGCACAGGGCUGGCAGGCAGUGUGGGACCUCUGUAAGAGUUGGAGGCUGGUAAGGCCUGAAUGCAAAGAGGGCCAGGCAGGGAGUUAAGUGUGCAAGGCAAAGGGCAGGGCCAGGAUCUUGGUUUGUUGUUGUUGUUGUUGUUUGUUUGUUUGUUUCCAAAGAGAUAUCAGGAAACUGGAAAAGUUGGAACAGCAUGAAGACAUCUGUGAGAUUAUCUGAUUUCACACAGCCCUAGCUGUCCUUGAACUCUGGACAACUCUCAGGUACAAGAAAUUGAGAGGAAAACAAAUUAUUCUUCUACAAAGAAAUGCAAAUGAGCUUUGUCUAGUGCAGAGGUAAUUGAUUUUUGCCCUGAGGAUAUUGACCAGCUAUAACUUUAUUCCUAAGGUUUUAGCAUUUCCAGUGGCCUCUAUAGUGUGUUGUUUGGUUCCUCUACUGACUCUGCUACAUCAUUCUGGUUCCUUCAUCAAUGAAUGAGUUAACUAAAAUAUUUGAUAUGUGUUCACCUUAGAUUUGUAUGAGAAUCAUUUUUUUAUCUUUUAAAAAAUAUUUUAUCAGGAUCCUCUUGAGUAAUUUAGGGAUACCAGGAAUUUAGGUACAGGAUCUCUGUAGACUAUCUAGAAAAUAUUAAAUAGGGAAGUCAAUGUCUAACCUUGUCUUACUUCCAGAAGAAGCAAUUUCAUAUAAGGCUUAGCAUAGUAUAAGGAAGAAAAUAAAAAC